rnacentral:snRNA from 1 species
GUUUACUUAAUAGCUAGAGAGGUUAGCAUCCCCUUUGACAAGGAUGGAAGAGACCCUUAGGCCUGACAAAUAAAAUAAAAAAAAAGCUGU